rnacentral:rRNA from 1 species
GAAAAUGCCCGCAUCGUCAACACGGCAGCGUAAACGGCUGCCAAACCUGCACUCCCUCCAUUCUGGAGAAGCGCGCCGCCGCCGGGCUACAAUCAUCGCUGAGACCGAAAUUAGAAGAUUCCGAGGGAUCUAGCCACAAAAGGCUAAGCGCCAUCCCAGAGGAAGAGUAUGAGAGCGCGGCACCUACGGCCCAGAAAUCCCAGAAUCUACCAAGAGCGAGCUUGCAAGGCGGCCAGACGCGCACCAAAUCGGCGCCCGCUCGCUUCACGGGAUCGAUCCCGAUCGAUUUCUAUGGCGCUCCGCGGGAUUCGCGGCGCUUCCUUCUCCCGUUCUUGAUCAGUUGUUGAUUGGAAGAAAACUUGGGAAUGCAGAAAGAUGAGCUUGCGUAACAGCAAACACUUACUUUGCGCAAACAAGAUCAGAGCUUCGUUCAAGCUCAUGCUGUGGGGCUCUCAUGAUAAUGUGCUGCAUACUGGUACUGUUCCUCCUCUCCGUGGUGUGAAGCACAGUAUACCGAAGGGGUCAGUAUUUGUUGAUAAUCACAUUUGUGAAGACAGUUAACAUCUGCUCCACUCAUGAGGUAUACAGUCUAGAUACUGCUAUAUAAGCGGUGUGUGGUGUUCGUUUGUUUUACUCCAUUCAGAUAGCUUGAUAUGAUGGAUGAGAGGAGGACUAUCUUGAUGGGCCGUUAUGAAAUCGGGAAGCAAUUGGGACAAGGAACUUUUGCGAAGGUCUAUUAUGCCCGAAGUCUUGCAACUGGCCAAGCUGUUGCUAUAAAGAUGAUCAACAAAGAUAAGGUUACGAAGGUUGGACUUAUGGAGCAGAUAAAGAGGGAGAUUUCAGUAAUGAGAUUGGUGAAGCACCCAAAUGUCCUGCAGCUUUUUGAGGUUAUGGCUACCAAGAGCAAGAUUUAUUUUGUAUUGGAGUAUGCUAAAGGUGGUGAGCUUUUCAACAAGAUAGUAAAGGAGGGGAAGCUUAAUGAGGAUGCCGCCAGGAGGUAUUUCCACCAAUUGAUCAGUGCUAUUGACUAUUGCCACAGCAGGGGCGUUUAUCACCGUGAUCUGAAGCCUGAAAAUCUACUCCUGGAUGAGAAUGAAAACCUAAAAGUCUCGGAUUUUGGUUUGAGUGCCCUGGCUGAUUGCGCAAGGCAGGAUGGUCUCCUCCACACCACAUGUGGAACUCCAGCUUAUGUUGCCCCUGAAGUGCUUAGCAGGAAAGGUUAUGAUGGUGCAAAAGCAGAUGUAUGGUCCAGUGGAGUAAUUCUGUUUGUGCUUGUGGCUGGUUACCUUCCCUUUCAUGAGGCAAAUCUCAUAGAGAUGUAUAGAAGGAUCUCCAAAGCGGACUUUAAAUGCCCUCGGUAUUUUUCCGCUGAGUUGAAGGAUCUAUUACAUAAAAUCCUUGAUCCAGAUCCCAGUACUAGGAUUCCAAUCUCUAGGAUAAAGAGAAGUGCUUGGUACAGAAGACCAGUUGAGGUAAAUGCAAAGAAAACUGAGCCUGAAGCAACGCACAACACCUUUUCAGCUGAAGCUGCGUCAUCAGGCUCAACAGGAUGCAGCACUUCUGAGGGAAAUCAAGGGUCGUUAAGCCUCCCGAACCUGAAUGCAUUUGACAUCAUCUCUCUGUCAACAGGGUUCAAUCUAUCUGGGUUUUUUGAGGAGGAGUAUGCUCGCAGGGAAGAACGAUUUACCACUAGGCAGCCUGUAACAAUAGUACUUGCAAAGUUGAAGGAACUGGCCAAACGCUUGAAGCUAAAAAUUAAGAAGAAAGAAAAUGGAGUCCUGAAGUUGGCUGCUCCAAAGGAAGGAAAGAAGGGGUUUCUUGAGCUUGAUGCCGAGAUUUUUGAGGUAGCCCCUUCUUUUCUCCUAGUUGAGUUGAAAAAGACUAAUGGAGACACUUUGGAGUAUCAAAAGCUGGUGAAAGAGGAAGUAAGGCCAGCACUCAAGGAUAUUGUAUGGGUAUGGCAAGGUGAUCAGCAGCAGCGGUCAGAGCCGAUUCUGCAAGGGGAGCAGCAUCACUCACCGUCGCCAACACAGCAGCCACAUGAUGAGUUGCAACCACCAUUGCAACAGCAAGAGGGACAGGAUCAGUUGCACCCACCUUUACAACCACAGGAGCAGCAGGACUUGCAGGAACAACCACCAUUGCCACCACAGAAUGGCUUCAAACACCAAGAUUGACAUGAUAGCAGUACCGGAUGAAAGUACCUCGUGUGUGUUUCUCUGUACUGCUAAUUCCAUACUCUUUGCAACCAUGAUUUAUAGACAGUCUUUUUUCCUCCUGAAUUGUAAAGCUUGUGUGUAUAACAUAAGUGAAUGUAUAGUUUCAGUUUUGCAUACUAUAGGGGGAAAUAAACUCUCGAUUCCAUUUUUCAACCUUUUUGAAAUAAAAUGAUUAUUGACCAGCACCAU